UUACCACUUCCUGUGGUAGAGAUGUGUGAGGGCUUGCCAGUUUAUUUUUACAUGGUUGCAAACGAGCGCAACAUACUGAAUGCAUUUGAAAGACAACACUCAUCAGAAUCGAAUGUGACAAACAAUGGAGAUUCCUUUUUAUUUAGCACUAUUUCAUUUAUGGAUAGCUAAAGACACCGUGUGCUGCAUGGACACCAAGGGGCUCUUGGAGUUCAAGUCUGUUACAUUGGGGCAAUCUCUCACAUUAAAAUGCCAUUACGACUGCUCUAAUGCAUUCGUUCGGGCCUGUUGGAGCAAAGCGUCUGAUAACUCGGACUGCCUGGGGGACCAAAGCCUCACCUUCUGCAGCGUAACUCUACAUUUGGACACUGUUUCUGCGCAAGAUCUCAAGUAUAACUAUACUUGUUACAUACAAGUAACAGAUGACCCGCAGCUCACAACGAAAAAACUUCGUGUUGUAUCUCUAUUUCUAAAAGCCCAGACAAGUGCUCAAACCUGCACAGUGGCUCCAACUAAUAUGCCUGCGAAUGUUCAGCCACGGGAUUCAAGCGGAGGAUGGCAAUUUAGAGAAAUUCAUGUUUUGGCAACCUUUUCCCUCGCAGUGGCCUUGGCACUGACCGUGUUGGUCGUGUAUUCAUGUGUGAAAUACAAUCCAUGCAGCAGAAAUGGGGAUGACGAUGACGAUUGUGAUAUGUCCAGAUCAGGUUCAUUGCUCCAUUCCCGAGUUGUUUUCUCUUCAAUGAAUGAUUCAUCGGCAUCCCAAAAUGAACAACUGACUUUAAGGGUUACCUCACUAGAUGAUGAGUGUCAAAGUGAAGUUCCAUAUGCUGAAAUCAUGAUUUCAGUCAGAGGUGUCAGUACACCAGAGCUCACUCAAGUCAGCUACUUGGCAACAAAUGACUCACAACAGUGGCGAGGAUGCGAAUCGAGGGGUCAUAUACAGUCCUCACACUCAUGUGACAGGCUUCACAUUCCGCAGCCCAGAGAGGUCAGCCGCAAGCUGAGUACAAACUCAGAGUACGCAGUCAUCACGUACGCCUGACUUGAGAAGACAUGGGCAGCCAUCGUCUGCAAGAGGAGAGAGACAAGGAAACAUGAAGUCUGUUACAAUGCCUUGUUUCAUAAGCAGAUACUCCACGUAUCUCAUCUAGCUUUACAUUUGUAUUGGUUUGAAUCACACGUGUCAACAUGCUGUUCAUCGACGCCAGGUAUUUCAUUUCAUGUAUUUCAUAUAAACCAACAAAAAAAUAAAGUUGCCUAAAAUAGGCCAAAAGAAA